AACGCACAUUGCGCCCUAUGGUAUUCCAUAGGGCAUACCUGUUUGAGCGUUAGCUCCCCACCCUUCUCAAGCAUUAUUUUAUAAUGUUUGGAUUUAUUUGGAGAGGCACCUCUGUCAUGGAGGUACCCUUCAGAAAUGAAUAUGGCAGUAUAGUUUAUACCUGAACUAGGCGUAAUAAUAAUAAAGUCGCUGAGUUUAAUCAUAUUUAUACUUGCCUGAACCCACCCAUUGUUAAAUCGGGUAACCUCAAAUCAGGUAGGGAUACCCGCUGAACUUAA
rnacentral:misc_RNA from 2 species